rnacentral:snRNA from 1 species
AUUUCUGGUGGGCUUGAUUACUGAUGCAUCUGCAGGUUCUCAUCAAGAUUAAUCUCUGAUGGUUGUCCCAAGGGACAUCACUAGAUUUAUCUCAAUUUUUGCCUCUGCCCGGAGACUGUCCUCUAUGCUUGCACACGAUGGUCUCCACUGUGUCCCUGGUAUUUCACUGCCUCCAGGUGACGCGAAUGCUCU